CCCUUUCUUCCGACCGCCCCGAAGCCCUCCGGUCGCCGCUCCGCGGGCUUUCGGCCACGCUUACUUGCCAAGCUCCUCAAAGAGCUGAUACUCGUCGGUAAACCUGGUGCAGGUUGCGGUGGACGCCAUCCUCUCAGUGCGGCUCUUGCAGCCCCUGGGCGCUUCCGAGGAAGGAGAGAGGGCGGCGGAGGGAAGGUGGAUUCAAGCAAAGGGGGAGGCGGUCAGGGCGGAAGAUGGGAGGGCAAAAGCGCUGCUUCUUCGCCUCCUCUUUUCCUCCGGGCGAGUCUCUCAGUCACGCUCUUCCUUGGCAGCUUCUUGCGACUUUCCGCCUGGCUUGUUUGUUUGUGAGGCACAAAAGCGUGUCGGGAUAAGCACGUCGUCGGCAUGCUACAUUUUUACACGCGGGGAACCCUCCCGCUCCACAGGAUUCCUUGUCACGUCCUUAAACUUAGGUUGGAAGGCUGUGAUCCCGGCUCUGUCACGCUUUCAGACGCGACGCGGUGAGAGCCUUCCGCAUCCUCCGUGCAAACGAGGGUGCAGGUAAAUUGGGGCGGAGGUUGUCCCUGAAAGCAAGGAACAAAGCGGGAUUGGAACAAAGCUGGGGGGUUUCAUCCUUCCAGCGCCCUUCCGUUUCCAUGUGGAUGUGGUUUGGGCUUACACCAUCAUGGAUUGGUCAGCCCCAUUUAAGAUACUGUCAUGCUUUUCAAAGUUGCAAUGUCUGCUCUUCCUUGAGGAAGUCGCAGGUAUUCCACACUUCAGAUUCCUCAGCCUCGCCCAUGCAUUCAUCCUCUUUCCAACUGAGCUGAUAUUUUUGAAUACGGAAUAUGCUACUGGAUUUCCUUAAUUUGUGGGAAUUGCCUUGAGUGGGCUGACUGUGGAGCUAAUUAUGAUUUUUUUUUUAAAAAAAUCUAUAUUAGAAACCUGAUUCCUCCUGUUUGCAUCGGAGUGCAGCUUGUGGGUUUCAUUCCUGUUGGGGCUGUGCAUAUUUUCAUGAAUGAUGGCCACCCUUCCUUCUGGCACUGAAGUCGUGUUUUCUGGAGCCUUUCAUUGACACAAAACAAGCUCUUAAAAUUAAUAUAUAUAUUCUUUAGAUUCUACACAUAGGUUCCAAUACAGCCAAUGAAGUCAAGCUUAUAGAUAUCAAGGGAAGGAACAUUUUAUUUACAGAAACAGACAGAAUUAACACCAAUAAAUAUGAGAUUAUAAGAAAACUUCCAUUUCAGUGCAAUAUACUGUAAUUUUAUUGUACAUUUUAUACAGAACAUAUUAGAAUGUCUAUAAUGAUGACAGAAUGAAUGCAUUUAUUGAAUUAUGAGUAAUCAACCUAAGGAUAAUUUUUAGGGCUUGUAUGAGACAGUGUUUAACGUGGUAAAUUCUAUGUGUGCUUGUAAUUAAAAUAUAGGAAAAUAAAAUAUUGCAAACCAUUAAGCCACUGCCUUAUUUGUACAGCCUGAAAUGGCCAUGACUUUUGAAUAAUUUGUGUUAAUUGACAAAGGACAUUCAGAUU
rnacentral:lncRNA from 1 species